rnacentral:rRNA from 1 species
AUUGAACGCUGGCGGCAGGCCUAACACAUGCAAGUCGAGCGAGCGGCGGACGGGUGAGUAAUGUCUGGGAAACUGCCUGAUGGCGGGGGAUAACUACUGGAAACGGUAGCUAAUACCGCAUACCAUCAGAUGUGCCCAGAUGGGAUUAGCUAGUAGGUGGGGUAACGGCUCACCGAGGCGACGAUCCCUAGCUGGUCUGCGAGGGUGACCAGCCACACGGGAACUGGGAAACGGGCCAGACUCCUACGGUGGGCAGCAGUGGGGAAGAUUGCACAAUGGUCGCAAGCCUGAUGAAGACAGGCCGCGUGUGUGAAGAAGGCCUGCGGGUUGUAAAGCACUUUCAGCGGGGAGGCGUUACCCGCAGAAGAAGCACCGGCUAACGCCGUGCCAGCAGCCGCGGUAAUAC